rnacentral:lncRNA from 1 species
AGAAGAGCUAAUGUAUGAUAUUUGGUUUCCCUUCCCAGAAAAAGAAAGAAAUAACAAACAACAACAGUCAAAUGAAAUAAAGGUAUCAUUCUUGAGAAGUUGCCAGAGAUUUAGUAGGACUUCAGCCUGCAUCUUGGAAAGACAUACCAGACUCCAUAACACAGGCUCACCAGAUGGGCGUCUGCCCUCAGCUCUUCCCCGAGGAGGGCACUCCUACGCUGACUUUGAUACAGGCCAGCAGAGGUACCACUUCCCCCAUCCGCUCCAGGAGCCCAAGCACAUCACAGAAACGUGAACACUGACGGGGCUUUUAAGUGAUGAGUGCAGUUACACGUGAGUACCAGGAGAGGCGCUGCAGUGCAAUCAGUGGUCCUGGAAACCAGGCGGUCCGUGACAGGCACCUGACCUUGACUUGUCUUUGGAAUCACAUGCUGCAUGGAAACCAACAAGCAGAAAUAUCCACCUGGUUUGGGGGGGGGGGAAGGAUGCACAACAGAUUGGCCAUCCUCUCUUUGGAGACGGUGUGUUUUUAGCUUUGGUUUGAACUUGACCCACCACCUCCCUGAUGAGCAUCCCCAAGCCUGAGAAGACAGGCCCUGGAGAAGAUGGGGUAGGCUGAAACCAGGGCAAGGAGUAGCCCCGGCAGACAGCACGUGGAGUAUCACCCCCAGUUCUACCUUGCCUUGAUUCUGAGCAUCUAGGAGGGGACAUGGUGUCUGGGUGUUCUACCUCUGUCUCCAGGUCUAGUCACAUCCCCUCCAGGCAGCCCAUGGCCCUGCCAGCCAUGACACCCUGCUUCAAGCCCUGGGGCCCCCAGUAAGGCGACCCCAGGGGAUGUGGUGAUCACAGAGUAAUCACCCCCCUGGGUGCUGGGUUCACAGCUGAAGCUCGAAUCUUCUAACACCCGGGAGGCGCAAUUAUCCGCCAUCAUGCUUUAAUUCUUAAUGAAAAUGAGACCCAGCACUGAAAGGGGAUGGGGUGGCCGAUUAUGUUCCUCUCUGGUGAGACGAGAGGUGAGUGGGGUCCCUGAGAGCUCGAGUCAGGCCCCAGGCCCCUCCUGGGGAAGGGGAGGCCCCCCUGGGAAAUCUCAUUGCUGCAUCAAUUGCCAGGGAUUCCCCCCCCACCAAAAAAAAGCACAGGUCCUGGGACUUUCCAAUGCCAACAGUACUGGAGGGCCUUCCCAAGUUCACCCACUUUUAACCUUUUAAGGGAGAUUGUGAGCUGUGUUCUCAUUAGCAGGUUUCUGUGGAAGCAACAGGGAGGGGCUGGGACUCCCUGUCCUUAUUACAAAAAAUUAGAAUGACUGGGUGUUAUGGUUAAUACAGGCUGGCCAAACCUGCAAUUAAAGAAAGUAAUUUUAAGCCGUGGUGAAAUAUUAAUAUUAAAAGUGUUUCAGGGACAGGAAUCUAAUUAACACAAGUUAAAGAAAAGCCUUAAAGAUUCUAAUUUUAUGAUCUUCUUAAAUAAAAAUUAACCUGAUUAGAGCCCUCUCUUAAAGGUUACAUUUAUUAAAAAGUUCCAAGCAAUUUAACCACAAUGGGUUUCGACAAGACAGCUUCCUGUCGACGCAGCCUCCCUAUUUUUAAAUUUUAUGAGGUUCUUCUGGCAGAGUUUUGUAGCAGUUAAGAUGAAAAUCCGGAUGCAGAGCACCCUUUAAAAGGAGGAGGGUGAGAGGAGGAGGAGGAAGAGGAAGAAGAAAGAAAUAUAAUCAAUUUGGAAUCAAAUUUAUUCCAAGGCAGAGAAGUGCAUAUAUACAUAUAUAUACAUAUAUAUAUAUAUAUAUAUAUUUUUUUUUUUUUCUGAUGGUGGAAAAAAGACAUGCAGGGAGGUCAAAGGUCACACAGAGAGGAGACAGUAUUGUGUAGAAACUGUCACGCAUCACCACCUAUUUUGACA